AUGCUUGCUUCAGCAGCACGUAUACUAAAAUUGGACGGAUACAGAGAAGAUUAGCAUGGUCCCUACAUGGGAUGACAUGCAAAUUCUUGAAGCAUAGUAAAGAAAA
rnacentral:snRNA from 1 species